CCGAAGCAAUAUGCCACCAGCUGCUAACUGAUGUAUUUGCAUUUGUAGUUGAUUUUUACGUGUGUUAGUCAUGUGACUAGCAGAUCUAAAGAAGAUCUAAAGUUGCUCUGGAGAUAUUGAUGUUUCUUGAGCAUUAUUGUCUGACAGUGAAAGCAAGGACAGAAGACUGAAGUAAAGAACUCUGAGACUGCGGUCGUAGUCAAUGUAAUUUGUGCUGAAGGAAUGAACUGAACAAUUCUAAGGUUCCAAGCUAAGUGUGGACACAUCAGACAGUAAGAACAGUGGAGUUUGGCGAGGGUUAGAGAC